rnacentral:ncRNA from 1 species
GCCGUGUACAAUGAAAAAUGCAAGCACGGUUUGGGGAGGGAUUUUUUUCUUUUAAUUUCAAUUUAUUUAAUUGAAACAAGGAAAUUAUCUACUCCAUCCGACUAGUUCCGGGUUUGAGUCCCGGGCGAUGAUCAGUAGCUGGUCUGAGAGGAUGAUCAGCCACACUAGGACUGAGACACGGCCCAGACUCCUACGGGAGGCAACAGUUGGGAAUUUUCCGUAAUGGGCGAAAGCCUGACGGAGCAAUGCUGC